rnacentral:rRNA from 1 species
GACGAACGCUGGCGGCGUGCUUAACACAUGCAAGUCGAACGGAAAGGUCCUGCUUUUGUGGGGUGCUCGAGUGGCGAACGGGUGAGUAACACGUGAGUAACCUGCCCUUGACUUUGUGAUAACUUCAGGAAAAUCGGGCUAAUACAGCAUAUGAGAUCCCGCUGCAUGGUGGGGGUUGGAAAGUUUCGGCGGUUGUGGAUGGACUCGCUGCUUAUCAGCUGGAUUGUGGGGUAGUGGCUUACCAAGGCUGUGACGGGUAGCCGGCCUUAGAGGGUGAACGGCGACAUUGGGACUGAGAUACGGACCAGACUGCUACGGGAGGCAGAAGUGGGGAAUAUUGCACAAUGGGCGGAAGCGUGAUGCAGCGACGCCGCGUGCGGGAUGAUGGCCUUCGGGUUGUAAACCGCUUUCGCCUGUGACGAAGCGUGAGUGACGGUAAUGGGUAAAGAAGCACCGGCUAACUACGUG